CCUACGGGAGGCAGCAGUAGGGAAUAUUGGACAAUGGGCGGAACCCUGACCCAGCGACGCCGCGUGAGUGAAGAAGUAUUUCGGUUUGUAAAGCUCUAUCAGCAGGGAAGAAAAUGACGGUACCUGACUAAGAAGCCCCGGCUAACUACGUGCCAGCAGCCGCGGUAAUACGUAGGGGGCAAGCGUUGUCCGGAUUGACUGGGUGUAAAGGGAGCGUAGACGGUGCAGCAAGUCUGAUGUGAAAGGUCGGGGCUCAACCUCGGUACGGCAUUGGAUACUGUGGAGCUGGAGUGCAGGAGAGGUAAGCGGAAUGCCUGGUGUAGCGGUGAAAUGCGUAGAUAUUAGGAGGAACACCAGUGGCGAAGGCGACUUACUGGACUGUAACUGACGCUGAGGAUCGAAAGCGUGGGUAGCAAACAGGAUUAGAUACCCGGGUAGUC
rnacentral:rRNA from 1 species